GUCUAUGGCCAUUCUACCCUGAACAAGCCCGAUCCUGUCUGAUCUCAGAAGCUAAGCAGGGUCAGGCCUGGUUAGUACUUGGAUGGGAGACCACCUAGGAAGGCCAGGUGCUACGGGCA
rnacentral:rRNA from 1 species